UAAAUCUACUUUUUUUCCCGUCCACUAUAUGAGGUAAAUAUUUGCUGAUAGGAGUAGGGGAAAAAAGACACGCAAAGUACUCUCCCCAGAGUGCAGAGAUGAAAAGAAAAAAAAAAUCAUGAAAAACAAAUAAUGAGGAAAAAUAUGCAGCUUUAGCUAAUUAAUGUUGAACACCAGGAUUAUGACUUGUAUAAAUGCAUUAAGAGCCACAGCAUAAUUUUUGAUGAGAGUGAGUAUGCAGUGCAACUUUAGGACAUUCCAUGUGGGACACAGUUUUAAAUAAUUGAAAUUCAUGUUUGCAUAAAUUAUUGUUUUAAACAGGGGCCACGUCCAUUGCAAAUGAUGAUUAGCAUUAAAACACAAGCUGGUGGAACAGAAAGCGGUCAUUAGCAAGUUUUUCUCACAGCUGUCAGAAACCUUCUGUCACCCUGUGCCAAGACAGCGUUCCGCCCACUGCUAUUUCACGCCAGGGACAGAGAGAGACAGAGAGAGAGAGAGUGAGAGAGAGAGGGAGAGAAGGAGAGCAUGCCGGGCGCCAGAAGCGGCAUCAACAAACAGUUAAUGCUUUACACUCCAGUCCAGUUGGUGGCAGUAAUACAUCAUAAGUUAGCUUGUCAACCACCAUUAAAUCGUACAAGAAGAAGAAGAAGAGUCUUCAGAGUAGCCAUUUUGAACAGGUGUUCACUCUUUCACCCCUGGGUCCAUUCCAGCAUUCACUUAGCAUUGAUGUCUGGCGCAAUGGGCAUUUAGUUGUUGCUGAACAACCCAUAUGCUCUACUACUACUGGCAGUAUGAUCACAUGGCAGAAGGCCCCUCCUGCCCACCCCAGCCCCCUCUAGAUGCCCCUUCAACCUGAUGGAUGUCAUCAAUAAUGGACGCCCGUUGCUCACUCCCACCCCGGGACACAGAAAAUCACAAGCCAGCCGAAGUGACAGCCCGAGCCCAGCAGAGGUGUGAUAAUUCACAUCCACAUUUAUACUUUUAAAUUUCAUCAAGUAGUUUACCUCCCCAAACAUGCCACAGGCUGAGGGGGAAAGCUGACAAAGAAAUGUGGCUUUGAUAGGAGCUGGAGAAAUCCGGCCUGACUGUCUUUGCUCAGGGUAAAACCCACCGAAUGAGGUAAAUGCAUCAGCGGCAGGGGCUGUCUCGACAUGGGUGGCAGGGGGAGGACGGAGGUGACGAGAGAGAGAGAGAGAGAGAGAAGUGCUGGGGAAAGGCAGGGUGAGCAUUAAGGGCUGUCACUUGUAUUGGCAGCUCCCCCUUCCCAACACCUCUCAGUGCACAGCAAAGACAGUCAGCUGGACACAGCUUCAGAAUUCAUUUACAGUCUCUAUCGCUGACCCAAGGAAAUGUAGAUCCGUAAAGGAAAAGAAAGUGAGAAAGAGAGGUGAGAAAAUGAUCGGAGUGGAAAAGACUCACUUACCAAAAGUACUAUUACCAAUUUUUUUGGAGAUGGAUACUAUUCGAAUGUUACAACUGGCUCCUUUCACUUGAACAAGAGAUAUUUCAUUUUAAUUGUAAUCCAUGUGAUAAUUUGGGUUAUUUUGACUGUUAAUAGGCAUCAUAAAUAAUGUGUAUACACUACAUGUAUCCAUGACUAUAUCUAUGAAUAGACGGUACCUAUUAUGUAUACACAUAAAAAAUAUUNAUAUAUAUAUAUAUAUAUAUAUAUAUAUACCGUCUAUUCAUAUAUAUAUUAGGGGUUGGAAUCUGCAGUACAUAUAUACAUACAAGGAAUAAAUUCUUGAAAUAUAUUUGAUUUAGUUUACA
ensembl:lncRNA